rnacentral:rRNA from 1 species
CUACGGGAGGCUGCAGUGGGGAAUCUUGCACAAUGGAGGAAACUCUGAUGCAGCGAUGCCGCGUGAGUGAAGAAGGCCCUUGGGUUGUAAAGCUCUUUUGUCGGGAAAGAUAAUGACUGUACCCGAAGAAUAAGGUCCGGCUAACUUCGUGCCAGCAGCCGCGGUAUUACGAAGGGACCUAGCGUAAUUCGGAAUUACUGGGCGUAAAGCGCGCGUAGGCGGUUAAGUAAGUUAAUUGUGAAAGCCCAAAGCUCAACUUUGGAAUUGCAAUUAAAACUACUUAGCUAGAGUUUAUCAGAGGAAAGCGGAAUACAUAGUGUAGAGGUGAAAUUCAUAGAUAUUAUGUAGAACACCAGUUGCGAAGGCGGCUUUCUGGGAUAACACUGACGCUGAGGUGCGAAAGUAUGGGUAGCGAAGAGGAUUAGAUACCCCCGUAGUC